rnacentral:rRNA from 1 species
AGAGUUUGAUCCUGGCUCAGAUUGAACGCUGGCGGCAUGCCUUACACAUGCAAGUCGAACGGUAACGCGGGGCAACCUGGCGACGAGUGGCGAACGGGUGAGUAAUGCAUCGGAACGUGCCCAGUAGUGGGGGAUAGCCCGGCGAAAGCCGGAUUAAUACCGCAUACGACCUACGGGUGAAAGCGGGGGACCGUAAGGCCUCGCGCUAUUGGAGCGGCCGAUGUCAGAUUAGGUAGUUGGUGGGGUAAAGGCCUACCAAGCCUACGAUCUGUAGCUGGUCUGAGAGGACGACCAGCCACACUGGGACUGAGACACGGCCCAGACUCCUACGGGAGGCAGCAGUGGGGAAUUUUGGACAAUGGGCGCAAGCCUGAUCCAGCCAUGCCGCGUGCGGGAAGAAGGCCUUCGGGUUGUAAACCGCUUUUGUCAGGGAAGAAAUCCUUUGGGUUAAUACCCCGGGGGGAUGACGGUACCUGAAGAAUAAGCACCGGCUAACUACGUGCCAGCAGCCGCGGUAAUACGUAGGGUGCAAGCGUUAAUCGGAAUUACUGGGCGUAAAGCGUGCGCAGGCGGUUUUGUAAGACAGAGGUGAAAUCCCCGGGCUCAACCUGGGAACUGCCUUUGUGACUGCAAGGCUUGAGUGCGGCAGAGGGGGAUGGAAUUCCGCGUGUAGCAGUGAAAUGCGUAGAUAUGCGGAGGAACACCGAUGGCGAAGGCAAUCCCCUGGGCCUGCACUGACGCUCAUGCACGAAAGCGUGGGGAGCAAACAGGAUUAGAUACCCCGGUAGUCCAA